rnacentral:misc_RNA from 1 species
GAUGAAGAACGCAGCGAAAUGCGAUAAGUAAUGUGAAUUGCAGAGUUCAGUGAGUCAUCGAAUCUUUGAACGCACAUUGCGCCCUGUGGUAUUCCGCAGGGCAUGCCUGUUCGAGCGUCAUUUCAACCCUCAAGCUCUGCUUGGUGUUGGGCCCUGCCCGCUGCGGCCGGCCCUAAAGACAGUGGCGGUGCCGCCUGGCCCUGAGCGUAGUACAUCUCUCGCUCCAGUGCCCGGUGGUAGCCUGCCAGAACCCCAACUCUCGUGGUUGACCUCGGAUCAGGUAGGGAUACCCGCUGAACUUAAGCAUAUCAAUAAGCGGAGGA